AGGUCCCAACACCGGAUGCGUGCUAAUGACAACCAGCCUCCGCGAAGUAAUACCUAAUGGUGGUCCCGCGGGGGAAAGUGGUAGAAGAAGUGUGGGGGGGUAGCUUUAAGUACGUAAGCGCCAUGGAUGGCAAAUAGUGCAUGCUGCUACCAAGAACCAGCAGUAUCUUUUGAAGAUUUUCUACCUCUAGCUCGC
rfam:Glossina austeni unplaced genomic scaffold Scaffold499, whole genome shotgun sequence.